GGAAGACCAGAAUGUUCUUUAAAGACAAUUUGGAGUUGAUUGUAAUAGUCAUGAACAGGUUCAUCAGGCUUUUGUGUGCAAACUUGAAUUUUGUUCCAGUCAGCAGGCUUAGUAAAAGCUACUAUAAUUGCUUGAUGAAGCUUUGUGGAGAGUGUUCUAGCAUCCUGCCAAAAGUUAGGGGUCUGUUUUCUCUAAAUCCCCUUCAGGCUGUUCCCAUCGGGCUAGUUUCAUCCAUUGUUUGGCCAGGCCCUCGCCAACAGGAAUGUGGACUAAUAUAAAUCUGAGAAACCAGGUUGGUAAAUGUGAAUAACUCUGUUAAAUUCUUCAGCAAACCUUAUGGGGGUCCUCAGUCACUUUGGGAAACUCUAACUAUGGCUCACAGUUUGGCCCUAUUCCAGGGAACAUAAGAAAUGUGGGGCUUAUUUGGAUCCUCCGAGACUUAACUUUAAAGGAGAUUUUAAUAGGUCUGGGAGAGGAGGGAGAAGUUCCUUCAUAGGGAAAGCAAAGUUGAAAGAAAGGAUUAGCUUGGGGGAAUAUAGAGGACCUGCAGAGCAAAUAGAGGAAAAUGGCGCCAGAGGUUGGAUCUGAGCUAGGAGGCUGCCAUAUAUCCUGAGACAAAGAGGAACAGGGAAGAGAAAAGCGGCUUUAGCUGCCCUUUUUUCUUUGUUUGCCUCAGCUAGUAUAAAUUUUAGAUUCCUGAUAAUGUUUGGAAGCUGCAAAAUACCAAUCAAUAUAGGCAUGCCAUUCAGUUGAUAAUUUUAGAGCCAGGCCUGUCCAAUCCAGUUUUGAGAAGAGUCAGUUUAGGAAGAUGGAACGUUCCCCACUAAAGUUCCAAAUGACUUUUGGUUAAGUUGGUCCAUUUAGUUAGAAAUGCGCAUGAAGAGGGACUGCAGUUUUUAAACAUAAAACCAACUGGGGUCCCAGAAGGGGGAGGGCACCCCCUAAAGCAUUUUGAGGGCUGGGACUCCAUUUCUUAAGAGGUGCAUUCUCUAAAGUAACAAAAAUGUCCUAAACAGCACAGUUUUUCAACAGGAAAGACAUGAUUCCAAAAGGAAUCCUACCAAAGGCCAAAUGAGUACUCUCAGAAAGAACAAAGCCUUAAAACAGAUCCCGAAUAGUCUGGAGAGCUCAAAACACAGAGUGGAGCUUGAAAUCCAGGAGAAAACUUACCUGCAAACUCUAAGGUCAUCAGGAGAGCAGCUCACUUGGCUCUGGGUGCCCGCACUGCUUUACUCACAAAGUAUUCUAGCUUUUACUAAGCCUGUUGAUUGGAUCCUCUCUGGAUCCCACUCUGAUCACUAAAUAAUGUGAACCUUAAAAAUAAAAGCCCAUUAUUUUACCAGCAAAAAAAAAGGGAGGGGGGUUAUUCAAGAAUAACAGGAUUGCAAUUCCGGGCAUGUAAGCUACGGCAAAACCAUAGGCAAGUCCUAUCCUAAACUAAAGGAGAGGAAGAUUACUUUAUGGAGGAGGAAGAGGACCUCAGAAGGGGUACUGAAUGAAAGUCCAUUGGAGAAGAGCAAGAGUUCAGGGUGAUUACAGGUUCUUACUGGCUGAGUUGCCGGGGUCAUCCAUUUCUUGUAGGAGAUACGAUGUACAUCUUUCCCUGUUGGGGGUCUGUAAUUGACAGUUCUUCUGGUUGUAUGGCCCCCCCUUCUGUCCUCCCUACUCCACUUUAAUGAGGUUUCCUUUCCUUAACUUCCGCCAUUGUAAGGGAGUCUCCCAUUGGUGUCUGGGGAGGUGGGAUCUUGUAGGGACUGGCCGAGUGUGUAUUUGGUCCACCUGAGUGAGAAACAGAAUGAGGAGUGGCCGCAUGUGAGAAUUAGCCACCAGGUGGAACUCCCCUCUGUGACUAAUCAGGUGAGUGCUAGAAUGACCUCUAGUGAAAGAGAUCCAGUCAGUUCUUCCUCUCGUAUUCUCUGCAUACCUGAUAGCCAGAGCUCCCCUUUGGGGAAGAAUAUUUAAAGUCACUAUAAAGGAGAAGAUGAAUUUGGUGGAAAAGCCAAUUUUUUUUUUUUCAGAAAUCUAAAAGGAACCUCAUAAAGGUUAUACUUAAAGUAUUAAACCCAGAGUUUAAACGGUUACCCCAAGUCCCCUGUAGAACAUGAAUCAGAUAACAAGGGCUCUGGCCAUGUGGAAGAACCAGACCUGUACAUAACACCGCAUUUGUACUGGUGUUCACCUUGACGCUGGCCGGGGGGGGUGGUAUUAGCUCCAUUUUUAAAGAUCAAGAAACUGAGACACCAAGAGAUGAAGCGACUCACCCCAAGGCUUUUGACUCAAGUUAAAGGUUCGUUCUUUUCUCUCACAAAGGCUCUCCAAAAUGUGAAAAACUUUUCUAGGCACUUAGCUUUCUAAUUUCUGUUUGAAGGGUUUUUCUGACUCCUUCCAGGGCUGCCUCAUCUGGUAAUGGAGCUUGACAGGCAGGGUAAAAUUGACACGGUUAGCACAAAGAAGGAUGCCCUACUUUAACAAUAACAAUAUUUUUAAAACCCUUGCACAGAUACAGAUACAUGAAGGAGUUACAUAUUGGCAUUUUAGAGGGCUGUUUAGGUCCGAGCAAGGAUUAAAGAAUGUCUCCUUUAUAUUGCAAAUUUCCUGGGAUGUGCUGAAAAUAGGACCUGAUUUGCCCAGUGUGGAUUUGCCUGCAGCUCUUGGAGCCCCUGGGCUGUCCGUCCCUUCGCAUGGCAGAACUGUAGUCAGAGGUUUCGGAGUCUUGGCACCUCAUUGCUGGGUGAUGGGUGAGCUAGGACAAAGUGACCUCAAGAGAGACAGAAGAAAAAGGAGGGAGGAGCACUUGGGGGCUAUCACAACUCCUAAAACCCAGAGAAAUUUGGUGAAGGGAUUCAAACGAUCCCAUUGGGCCAUAGAAACAGCCAGAUUUGUCCCAUUCUUUUGCCAAGUCUAUCAAUUUAAAUUGGCUCCAGAUCUCCAUUUCUUUACCUAAAUACUGUGGCGUGUGACUUAGUUUCUCCUAUGUGGUUGUCAGGACAGUUAGCCCAGUGGGAUCAUGUUCAGUUAAAUGAAGAAAGGCAUUUGUUGGAGGGGCUGGGAGAACUCCCAGCGGCCAGUGAGGAAGGCGUCAGACACUUUGGGGCAGAGAAUGCUGGGAUGAGGACUUUCCUUCGGCGGGCCCAAGCUGACUUAGAAGGUGCAAAGAGGGAGCAGAUCGUGCAGGAUUUUGAGCUUGGAGUUUACCUAUGGAAUCAACCUGCUUGGGCAGUUUUAACGAGGUUUCAACUAAAAUCCCUUCUCUGGGGUUUCUCUCCGGGCUGGGGCCAGAGCUGCGCGGUGCCAAGGCGUCUGGGGAGCCAGGAGCUCUGCCAACCUCGUUCGCACUGUUGGGGCAGGGCAGGCCCCCUCACACCCAUUCUGGGCCUGUCAUUAAAACCAAGGAAGUGCUGUUUCCCUCAGUAAGCCUUUUCCCUCCCUGGCUCAGAAGGGAGGGACACAGCCUGGGUAACACAGGUGUUCUAAAUCUGGGGACCGUGAGGGGCUUUAGGGGCCCACGAAUGCCCUGAAACAUGGGUGUCAUUUUGCGGGUAGAUGUAUUUUCCUGGACUAAGGAUCUGUAUCUCAUCACAUCGGAUUCUCAGAGGGACCUUCCUUGAUAAAACGUGAAACUCUGACAGUCCAGGGCUGGCCCUGGAAAGAACACUCCAGAUCGCAGGCUACCCCAGCACUGGGAUCUCAGCUACGUUGCCACCUGCUUGCAGUGAUCAUGUUCUGCUUUUGAGGUCUCUCCCUGGGUAUGAUUGGCAGCACAUUCUGGCCUUGGGGAUCCUUUUUUUUGUGAAGCAAUUAAUUUGUAUUAAUGAGCCAUCCAUGGAUUUCCCAUAGUACAAAUGAGAGGCUUUCCCCCCUCACCAGGGGAUGCUUUCACAAUCCUGACGACCCGGCCACACACCAAACAUUCUAAUUCAGUUGUCCUAGGAUGGAGCACCUUGGAUGAUUUUAAAUGUGCAGCCAGGACUGAUAACCUUUGAGCUUGGACAAGGGACAGAAACACAGACAUGAAUUAAGGAGACUAGUUUUUAUCCCCUCUGCCACUUUUGAUCACUGGUUGAAAGCACCUGAAAUACUCUAUUGUGAAGGUUUUAAAACCAGUUUCCAGCUCAGGACGAAAAGGAUUCAAUGCAGUGGUAACGUCUAGGGGAAGGGAAAUUGUUAGCAUGUGUGCAGGUAUUUUCCAUCUUAGAUACCUGCGUACACAUGUGUGCAUGCAUGUUAUGCAUGUUUAUGUACAUGCAUGUGCAUACAUAUAUAUUAUCACAUGUAUGUGUAUAUAGACACAAGGUAAAGGGUACUCGUGUUCAACUUCUGGCCCCAGCUCCCUCUGCUCACACACACAGCCUUAGAAGGGCCGUGCGGGAACACAGUACAUGGAGUGCAGUACCCACCUUGCAUUUCCCUCUAGGAGGUCGCACUGCGUCGACACCAGGAACGGUAAGGAGAGUGGGUACACGCGUGCGGAUGGGGAGAGACCAACCUGCGGAGCCGGAGCGGGAGUGUGAUGUGUUCUUUGCCCUCUCGCAGGCUUCAUCCCCCCUCCCCUCAUCUUCGGGGCCGGCAUCGACUCCACCUGCCUGUUCUGGAGCACCUUCUGCGGGGAGCAAGGCGCCUGCGUCCUGUAUGACAACGUGGCCUACAGAUACUUGUACGUCAGCAUCGCCAUCGUGCUGAAGUCGUCCGCCUUCGUCCUCUAUACGACCACAUGGCAGUGCCUGAGGAAAAACUAUAAACGCUACAUCAAAAACCACGAAGGCGGGCUGAGCACCAAGCCAGACAGGAUUCAGAAUAAGGAGAGCAUGGGAUCGUGUGUUUGUCGUCCGACCUGCUGGGGCCCAGAGUCUACUCUUUGAAGGCACCUCAUGCUUUUUCGGGAUGCCGACAGCUGCAAGCAACAGGCACUGCCAAAUUCAGGGAACAGUGGUGGCCAGCUUGGAGGAUGGACGUUUCUGGAUAUACAUACACAUACAAAACAAAUUUUUUUUUAAAGUCUACUAAACAUCACAAGUUGACAACCAGGAUAAGCACUAGGGACACACACCCCGUGCUACCUGCCUCCUCCACGUGGGGGUGGGGAGCAUGCAAGUUGGAGGAGCGGGUGCUCCCUCCUCUAACUUUCGCAAUAUGGGUCACUGUGUAGACGACUCACCCAGUCUGCAUGUGGUUCAAGGCCCCCGAGUUCUCUCAGCGAUGCUAAUGGGUGAUCCGUGCUGGAGUCUAAUUGGCACCUCUCACCAGCUCCAUGUUCAUGUUCAAGACUGAGGGCCCGAGGGGGGAGCCGGGCGUGGGGGGCCAGCACCUCACUUCCCCCCCCCCCACCGCAGCGCCCCCCAGCCCCGCAGAGUGACCUCAGGAAGCGGUGGGCCUCGCCUGGCUAUGAUUGACUUCGCUCAGAGCCGGUGAAACCCACACAGUCCAAGUCAUUUGCUUACAUUUGCCAAACAUUUUACCAUUUUUAAAGGAAAAAAAAAAAAUGCAAUGCAUAUGAAUUUCAAACUGUUGUAUGUAUAAUCCUCUAAUACUAUUUUUAACCACUUCUAAAAUCCGUGUUAACCCUUCAAUCACUAACACAGUUCUCUAGGCUGAGUUUAUUAUGCUGGUUGCUUUUUCCUUUCCUCCUCUUUUUAAUGCACCAAAAAUAUAAUGUGAUUCAAGGGAUGCAAUUAAUCUAUUGUAAUUUUUUUUUUUAUCGUUUUAUCCUCAUUCGGAUAUUCUGCGAAAACAAGAAUAUACCAUGUGCUACGGGAAGAAAAAAAAAAAUUCUUGGGAAAGAGUAUCUAUGCAGCCUGCCUUUAAAGGAAUCACAUUUGAGACAACAGGGGAUAAUGUGAUGAAUUGCAAAUUCGCCUUCUGGCUUUAUUCCCCGUGAUUCAGUGAUCACUGUCAUGGGAAACCCUUUUAUAUUCAUGCUUCACGUUCCAAGAGGCGUUCUUUUCAGCCCGUGGAGGAGACCGCUUAGAUGUGGGUUGUGUGGAUGGGUGCGGUGCUUCUGGGGGUAGGCAAGAGAAGGAAUGGUCCCCUAGCAUGAGCUGUCGAGCAGUUUGUGGGGUCUGUGAUGGUGAAUAGACCCACAGGGUCGCGGGAGCCACCGCAUGUCCGAUGCAUUAAAAUGUCACUGUUUUUAGGGUCAGUCUUGAACGAAGGGGCCUCGGUCUGUGUUUUGAAAGUGGUUAACCCUCCAGCAGCUGGCAGGCAAACCUCCUUGUUUGGGAGGAGAAUCGUGGGUGCAGCUUUUGGGGUCAGCAGCCUCAGCCUCAUGAGGCCAUUCCCCGGAAGGGGACAGGGCUUAUGGGAGAGCCCGCACUCACGCACGCACACAUGGCCCAGUUAACGUUCCUUUCGUGUUUCCUCAGUGACCUUGGUCCAGGCCACUCAUGGCCCCGAGAAAGAUCUCAAGGUUUGUUCUUUGGUUUGCCUUUUCACCUGAGACACAGAUGUGCAGUUCCCCCGGAGGGCAACAAAAGAAUCAGGAAUGAAAAGAGCGGGGAGAAGACCGGGCUCUUGUGCCAAAUUUCUCACACAUACUGUAAAUGGGGUAGUUUAAGUGACAGCCCGAAACUAGAGAAAGCCCCACCGAGCAAGGACAACUCAAAGAGAAGCUUGUGUUGUGGUGCGGGGCCACCGUGAUCAGCUGCCUGGGACAGGAUGCUUCCAAAAGCACCCUUCUGUGUGUUUACUUUCAGUCUGUCCUUGUCCGUGAACAUGGGGGCACUCAUCAGUAUGUUAACUAGUAAGAGGCGGGAUUGUUCUCCAACCAAUUCAUAAAAUAUGUAUACUCUGUCGCUCCUAAGGCUUUGAAACCAUUCUGUACAGGUUUGGGGUGAGUUUUGUUUUGAAAUGUGUUGCUAAUAGGUCACUGCCCUCUGCGUAGCUCUCCAAACUCAGUACACACACACUGAGCUCCGCUGACCUUGUGUUUUCAUGGGGCCAUUUGCUUUAAAAAGAAAAACGUUUUUUUUGAAAACUCUUUGCAGUUUGGAUUUUUUUUCCCUAAGAUUUUAGGAUGAAUGAGAUGUUGAGAUGAAAAAGGAAAACACCUCCAGGGCUCAGUUUUGUCAACAACUGGAUAUGAACUUAAAGUCCCCCAUUGCAAGAUGGCUCCAAAGUGCAGUGUGUCACCUUUUAGAGUUUUAAUGUCUCUCCUACUGCAGAACAGAAAACCUAGUCUGGUGUUAGGUUUCCUUUUGUGCUACAAAGAACCAUUGUACAUAAGCAUUAGAUCCAGCUCCUUGGUUAUUUGUUUCAUUUUGAGUGGUAUUUUGAAUGAAAAGAUUUCCUGGCAAGAGCUCCAUUGGACUUAGAGAAAACAAAAAUGUAAGGGAUAGAAUAAACCUAGAAGGUGAACACUAA